ensembl:lncRNA
AGCAUCAUAAAGUGCUCAUGUUAGCUGUGUUCCUGGAGGAGUUAUGCUUUUGGAAGUCAGUUGAAAUUUGAUGGGAGUGGAGAUCUGAGAAGCAGUUGUUGGUAUGGACCAAACAUGUGCACAUGUUGUCAUGUUUUAAUAUAAGAAAUUCUCCUUUCUGUCCAGCAUCCGAAGAGAGCACAUUUCAUAGCGAUUGCUCUGGCAAGUCAAAGUUGCAGCCUUUCUCAUGACAGCUUUCCCUCUACUACAACAAACUCAUCCUCUUUGGAGACAAGCCUGGCCUUCCACUGAUACCAGUAAAUCUGCAGAGCUUCAAACAGUUCCACAGCACAGUAUUAUCCAGACUGGGGUGUGCAGCCUUAUUUGUUUGCCUGAAGCUAUGUGGUUAAUAAAUGACUCUUCUAUGGCUUUGUCCACAUUUCUGCUUGUGAGAGCAAAGAAUUACCCAGGCAAGCACAAAGGAAACCAUGAACAUGAGGUAAUCAGCCACAAGUUAUGCAGAAGUCAGUUAGCCGUCAAGCCACAGCUGUAGCGAGUAGUAGGAGUAACUUAAGAGCAGAAGGUAAAGGCAAAUUUAAACAAAAGUGCUGCAUCUUAACUCUUCCACACUGACACCUUACCACCAUGUCUUUAGAUCUGGAAAAGCUUUUAGGAUAACCUUUCCAAGAAGUAGAAGAGAAAGAAGAGAACCAAUGUAGUCUGUCAGUUCUUCCAAGCAAAUGCAGCCUUCUCCAGCUGACCUCAGUCUCUUAGCAUGAACAGUUUGUGUCCUCUUUCCAUUCUGCCAGCAGCUGUGCACAUUCAAACCCUUACUUUGUAUGAAUCAUGCACGAGUGGAAGCCUCUGAGUUUUAUGUCCCUUUGAGUGGUUCUUUGCCUACAUUGGAACAAAAUGUCUAUUUAUUACUGCAGCUUUUCAGGGAUCACCUGCAUUGAGGUGGUCUGGGCAACCAUGGGUGGAAUCAAGUCACAGGACUGUUGGUUUUUUUCCUAAGCUAUUAAUUAACAGAACAUUUUAAAUAUUAAUCCAUUCAGACACAUAUAGCCUUCACAGUGCAGUAUCCAAAGACACCAAGGAUAUGACAACAUAUUGCAGUAAGGAAACAACCUGUCACUUACACAGGGGUUAUUCAGACACAAUAUUUUGUCACUUGGCACUAAGUAUUGAUAAUGCGGGCAGCUUACAUCACUAUAUUUGCAAUGUAAAUAAAUGAAUUUCAAGGUUCUACUGCUGUCUAAGAAGGUUUACACCUAGAGGUGGACUCUUCUGAAGUUCAUCUCCCUUGAAAGUAGCUGUAUAUCAUUGCUUUGGACAAAAAGUCAGCAUGGAAAUUUGAUAGGAAGCAGUUAGACACAGAAGAAUUCUGCAGGACAUUAAAAGCAAAAUUUUAGGACUGUGGAGGCAAAUUUAGAAGGUUGAAGGCUGUGGCUAUCUUGCAGACUGGUGAUUUAAGAUAUUUAAGGUCUUCACUCAUAAAAUAGAGUUGGCUCAGGUUACCUCUUACAAGCUGUUCUCUACACACACAGAAUAUUAUGAGGCUCAAAACUACUAUGACAAUGAAAGCAGUUACAGACGCUGCAAUCCAGAUGUGCAGCUUCCAGGAUAAAUAUCAUACUUGUUUAUAACCAGACUUUGGGAGUAGCAGCAAAGCUGAAUGAAACACAUUUGGACCUUACAAAAAAAAAAAAAAAA